GGCGGCUGAGUUCAAGUUGGUAUUUUUGCAUUUCUUCAGAUUAUCACUUAGAUCGCCAAUACGCCUGAAAUAUUUUGGGCUUUCUCCCCAGAGUUAUUAUUUGGAUAUUGCGGUUUGGUGUUGAAGCAGACGUCAUUGUCAAAUUAAUGAAUACAGUAAAACUAUGGCUUGGGCUGCUUCCUGUCUGCGCUAAUAACAGCCUGUAGGACCAGAGAGGAGUUUGGUUACCUACUGGGAAGGUACAUCCCACAAUGAACUCUUCCUAGAAAGUGCUUUUAUUAGUAACACUCAAAGUCCUUCAGGACACGUGUCAAGCUCUGAUGAAACAUGGCUGAUAAAACAAAGCCGGGUUCAUAAGGGCAGCCUCACUAUUGCAUCGUCCUGUCUGAUCUCCAAUAACCUCACUGCCAGACCAGCAGGCAUCAGGCCACAUCAGGACAUCCCCCAUACCCAGACCAGCAGGCAUCAGGCCACAUCAGGACAUCCCCCAUACCCAGACCACCAGGCAUCAGGCCACAUCAGGAGAUCCCCCAUACCCAGACCACCAGGCAUCAGGCCACAUCAGGACAUCCCCCAUACCCAGACCACCAGGCAUCAGGCCACAUCAGGAGAUCCCCCAUACCCAGACCAGCAGGCAUCAGGCCACAUCAGGACAUCCCCCAUACCCAGACCAGCAGGCAUCAGGCCACAUCAGGACAUCCCCCAUACCAAGGCAGAGACCACAUACUCACACGCCAUCACAUUUAGAAUCACGUUAGAUUCACAUUUACAUUCAUUAAAUCGAGCAGACCCUUUCAUCCAAAGUGAAUGACAGUGCACACAGAUUUCAUGCAGGUUGUGUUCCUCCCUCCAUUGAUCGUGCCAAUGCUCAAUAACACAGUUGGUUUAAAGACCGUAAUUCCCCUCAUUAAUCUAACACACGGUAAACGCAUUAGUCACACAUUUGAGGUUCGCAAAGCCAUAAAAAAAAAAAAACUAAAAAAAAAACUGUCAGGGCCAUUAAAAUCACAGCGUAAGGCCCGAGUAGGAUCCCUCUGCAGAUACUCAAAGGGACUUGAUGACCUUUCGGAGCGGGAGCCCAGUUUGUCGCUCUUUAAAGGGCCGUGCGCUGAGGCUGAAACAGCAUGAUUCAGAGGCACAUGUUAGAGGUGCCGAGGCGGCAGCGGUGCGGUCCCUGUGAGGGGAGAAUAAUAACAGUCACUGCUUAGACUGGCGCUGGGCACGGAGAGUGUUUAAACUGUAGCCCAGGCCACUCCAAACACCUCCCACACACACCAGCGUCACGUGACUGCUCUCUCCAACAGGGACGCUGCACCGCCCUCACUGCUGGGGGAGCUCCAGCCGGGAGCACAGGCCCAGUCCAC
ensembl:lncRNA